GUCAGGGAGGGAACCUACUGUACCAUUUACCCCUAAGCAACAUCCCUGUGCAUUAUAUGCAAGUGGGCUUUUUGUACAAGUAGCUCUGAUCUCUCUACACAAUUCCUCUAUCUUACUUAACACAGUAAAUUGCCACACACGCACUCAUCCAAGGUGAAUCAUGAUUUAAUCCCAGGUGAAUGCAACCCAUCCCCUGGCAGUGCGCUACAGCCUUGCUACUCAAAAGUGUGGUCCAAAACCCACCUGCAGGGACAUCACGUGGGAGAUGGUUGAAAAAGCAGAAUCCAGGAGCCCACCCUAGGUCUACUUAACUGCAGAGGUUCAUCCUGUUUUGGCAAAAUCUUAUUGAGUAAAUCCAAGGAUUGAAGAAAUCUCUUCCUCUACCCUGUUCUUUACAACUGUAGAUGAUUCCUAAUGAGCAUUUUAACUAAAUUCUUUCAACAUAGCGUCAUUCUUGAGGAGUAGCUAUAGUUUCAGGUUGCAGCUUGUUUUCAUCUCCAAACACUGGAGAAAGAAACCUUCGUCAGAGAUGAAGCACCAAGAAAUAAAAUGAGACAAUUUUUCCAGGAGAGAUUCACAUUUCAGGUUCCUAAAACAUAUGUCCUCGAGUGUCCACCACGUGGGUCAGUUGCUGGGCUGGGGGUACCACACCUUCAGGAUCAGCCACGCCUACCUACAUUUGCAAGCCUGCCAGCAGGUUCUCCGAAAAGGGAUCUGAAACUGGACCAAGCUUUGUGUGGCCUUCCCUCCCUAUCCUCCCUCCAGCCCUCUCUUCUUUUUCGUGCCCUUUACUCAUCUUUCCUUCCUCCUGGUAAGAUGUAUUGAGGGCUAAUAAUGGGCCACACACCAUGCUGGGUACCAGAGAUGCUGCUGUCAAGAACUCAACAACACAGAUAUGACACAGGCCCACCUCAUAGAGUUUUCUGGCAAGGAAGACUAUGAAAUCAGUCAUCAAUUAAGUCAUUUCAAUGAUGAGUGCUAUUUAGGAGAAUUGCAGGGUGAUAGGAGAGUGUGUAAGAGGAAACUUGACCCUGGUCUGGGGGCUGCCUUGAGAAUAUGAUGUCUGAGCCGAGGACCAAAGGAUGAGUAGUGGUGAGCCAGGUACACAGAAAGGAAGGUAUCCUUUUCCCCAGUUGGCCUCUUUACCUGUCCCGCCAGCCAACAGAGAACCCCUGCUCCCACUUGGCAACUCUGCUAUUGACUCCACACUGACCUUGCCUGACGCCUGUUGGUGCUGACAGCUCCACCGCCCAGGGUUGGACACUUGCCUCCAUUCUUGUCUUCGUCUGACCUUGGCCUCAGCUAUUUUCUGCCCCACUUCACCCACAUUGGUACUGACAGCUCACAGGAUCUCCACCCAGCUGGAUGCCCACUCAGCAAGAUAUGUGAUGGCAUUGUUUUCCUCUUAAUUUAUUAGACAGCACUUCUUUCCAAACAGAAUUAAUUUUUGCUCUGAAGAUGAUAACUCAGGCUCGAGGAAGAGUUUAUAUUCUUGGUGUGGUCAGUGGUUGUGCAGGAAACCAUUUCUAACACAGCUGCAUCUUCUCGGUGCCAAACACCCCUCUAGGUCUCAGUGUCGUGGGGAGCAGAAGACUGUGCUUGCAGGUCAGGUCAGGUCGCAUCUUGCUGAUGCCCUCAUUCAGGCUGAUGGAGAAUGGGCUGAGUGAUAUGGCCCAGAUGCUUCUCUCCAGGUUAGACGAACAGCUGCUGGAUUCCUCUCUCACCCUGAAUAAAUUCAGUUGUUUUGCUAACUGGACUACAGCUUCUUUUUUCAGAACGUCACAGGCAUAUUUUGGGGUUUCUAUGAACAGGUGCUGCAGGAAGCACGAUUCAUUUGUUUAUUAGGAUGUUACCCUGUAUUUUGAAAAACAAUUUGAAAAGGAAAAAUGGCCCCAUCCAACGUCUUUUGCUUUUCUCAUCAGGCCGUGAGCUGUGAACAACUGCUAUUACCUUCAGUUUCCAGAAUCCCCAUCUGGUUAGGUACUUUAAUUUAUGUUGGCUAUAAUCCAGAACGGCUGAUUUGGUUUAUUUUAAGGAGUUUUAUUUUAAGAAAGUUUUGACAUUUAAGAAUUUAAUUGGAACAAUCUGUACCCAGAAAUUUUUUAAUGCAGUCUAGGAUUAAAAGAUGUUCUUCAGAGUACGUAGGGUUUUAGCGGAAAGCAGAGUUUUCCAACCUGGCUAGCCUUUGUACUUCAGGAGUUUGUUCAAGAUGUGGUGGGAGAAUCUUCAGAUUGAGACUUGCAACACUGACGAGAAUGGACACAGCAGCUACUUCUAAAAGAGAAUAUUCUGACCUCAAACCCACUCCUUAAGUUCAAUUUACUGAGGUCUGCUGGGGUGGACUGCUACCACGGCUGGUUACAGGGAGACGACGGGCGUGCUGUCUUGCCAUUCAGCCAGCUCUAGUCAGAUACUCAGGCCUAAGCUGGGAUGGACUCAGGAAAUCUGCCCCAUUCCCUCGACCACAGGUCAGGUUUUCCUGGUUCUGAGAGGCAGAAAGAGACCCUGGUUGGUUCAGAGUUCCUCCACCCUGAGAAGUGAAGUCACAACUGAAAGUUCAAGAGCCUGGUGGGGUUUGAUCCUCCGAAGAAGGGUCCCAGCUUCCAGAGAUUGGCCUGAAUCUCCAGGGACAUUAUGCACAGUCCCCAGAAUUCUUAGUACUUUUGAUGAGCUACAGCUGGUCCCUGAUCCCUGCAAUAGCUGCAGGUUGAAGCAAAGAGCUUCCCGGCCUCCAAGGGGGAAAUGAGAAAGGGAAAAACCAGGGCCUUUCAUGCUCAGUCGAUCCUAAAAAUGGAAGAGGCUCCUGCUCACCAGGCCUGCGAAGUGACCUGCAACCACAGCUCUAGCCCUGAUUCUCUCCCGAAGUCCACCUGUGCUGCCAGGUAUUGCCACGUGUGUGAACAACCAGCUCACAGACUCGGUGCAUAUCCCCUAAUUCUUCUACUUCCCUACUUCUCCCAAUGGCACCUCCCUUCUCUCUUCUCCCAGUCACCAUCCUAGAGUCCUUCACUUUACUGCCAUAAGACCCAAUAAUUAAUUGUGAGUUCUUGGUCCAGUUUCUUAAUCUCUCUGAUCCUCAGUUUCAUCAUCUAUUUAAAAAAAUGCCUACCGCAUCGAGUUUUGUAAAGAGCCUUAGGUAUCAAGAGUUUGAAUUUAUUUGGGAAACAAAG
rnacentral:lncRNA from 1 species